rnacentral:rRNA from 1 species
AGCGAACGCUGGCGGCAGGCUUAACACAUGCAAGUCGAACGCCCCGCAAGGGGAGUGGCAGACGGGUGAGUAACACGUGGGAACGUACCCUUUGGUUCGGAAUAACUUGGGGAAACUCAAGCUAAUACCGGAUAAGCCCUUAUGGGGAAAGGUUUACUGCCGAAGGAUCGGCCCGCGUCUGAUUAGCUGGUUGGUGAGGUAAUGGCUCACCAAGGCGACGAUCAGUAGCUGGUCUGAGAGGAUGAUCAGCCACACUGGGACUGAGACACGGCCCAGACUCCUACGGGAGGCAGCAGUGGGGAAUAUGGGACAAGGGGGGCAACCCUGAUCCAGCCAUGCCGCGUGAGUGAUGAAGGCCUUAGGGUCGUAAAGCUCUUUUACCCGGGACGAUGACGACUGUACCGGGAGAAUAAGCCCCGGCUAACUUCGUGCCAGCCGCCGCAGUAA